UACGAAGGGGGCUAGCGUUGUUCGGAAUUACUGGGCGUAAAGCGCGCGCAGGCGGUCUUCCAAGUCAGUGGUGAAAGCCCGGAGCUCAACUCCGGAACUGCCAUUGAAACUGUAAGACUUGAGGAUGAGAGAGGCGAGUGGAAUUCCCAGUGUAGAGGUGAAAUUCGUAGAUAUUGGGAAGAACACCGGUGGCGAAGGCGGCUCACUGGCUCAUUACUGACGCUCAGGCACGAAAGCUAGGGGAGCGAACAGG
rnacentral:rRNA from 1 species